rnacentral:rRNA from 1 species
GAUGAACGCUGGCGGCGUGCCUAAUACAUGCAAGUCGAGCGAACAGACGAGGAGCUUGCUCCUCUGACGUUAGCGGCGGACGGGUGAGUAACACGUGGAUAACCUACCUAUAAGACUGGGAUAACUUCGGGAAGCCGGAGCUAAUACCGGAUAAUAUAUUGAACCGCAUGGUUCAAUAGUGAAAGACGGUUUUGCUGUCACUUAUAGAUGGAUCCGCGCCGCAUUAGCUAGUUGGUAAGGUAACGGCUUACCAAGGCGACGAUGCGUAGCCGACCUGAGAGGGUGGUCGGCCACACUGGAGCUGAGACACGGUCCAGACUCCUACGGGAGGCAGCAGUAGGGAAUCUUCCGCAAUGGGCGAAAGCCUGACGGAGCAACGCCGCGUGAGUGAUGAAGGUCUUCGGAUCGUAAAACUCUGUUAUUAGGGAAGAACAAAUGUGUAAGUAACUAUGCACGUCUUGACGGUACCUAAUCAGAAAGCCACGGCUAACUACGUG